rnacentral:rRNA from 1 species
UACGGAGGGUGCAAACGUUGCUCGGAAUCAUUGGGCGUAAAGCGCACGUAGGCGGUCCAGCAAGUCGGGUGUGAAAGCCCUCGGCUUAACCGAGGAAGUGCAUUCGAAACUACUGGACUUGAAUACUGGAGAGGAUCGCGGAAUUCCCGGUGUAGAGGUGAAACUCGUAGAUAUCGGGAGGAACACCAGUGGCGAAGGCGGCGAUCUGGACAGAUAUUGACGCUGAGGUGCGAAAGCGUGGGGAGCAAACAGG